rnacentral:rRNA from 1 species
CAGAGGUCCCAAGCGUUGUUCGGAUUUAUUGGGCGUAAAGGGUGCGUAGGCGGCGGAGUAAGUUGGGUGUGAAAUCCCGGGGCUCAACCUCGGAAUUGCAUUCAAUACUGCUUCGCUCGAGUACUGGAGAGGAGACUGGAAUUUACGGUGUAGCAGUGAAAUGCGUAGAUAUCGUAAGGAAGGCCGGUGGCGAAAGCGAGUCUCUGGACAGUUACUGACGCUGAUGCACGAAGGCCAGGGGAGCAAACGGGAUUAGAUACCCCGGUAGUCCUGGCAGUAAACGGUGCGCGUUUGGUGUGGGGGGAUUCGGACAAUCUCCGCGCCGGAGCUAACGCGUUAAACGCGCCGCCUGGGAAAUACGGUCGCAAGAUUA